rnacentral:rRNA from 1 species
AAGACCUUGCGCUUUUGGAGCAGCCGAUGCCUGAUUAGCUAGUUGGUGGGGUAAUGGCCUACCAAAGCUUCGAUCAGUAGCUGGUCUGAGAGGACGGCCAGCCACACUGGGACUGAGACACGGCCCAGACUCCUACGGGAGGCAGCAGUGGGGAAUUUUGGACAAUGGGCGCAAGCCUGAUCCAGCCAUGCCGCGUGAGUGAAGAAGGCCUUCGGGUUGUAAAGCUCUUUCAGCCGGGAAGAAAAGGUUGCGAUUAAUAAUCGCAAUUUAUGACGGUACCGGAAGAAGAAGCACCGGCUAACUACGUGCCAGCAGCCGCGGUAAUACGUAGGGUGCGAGCGUUAAUCGGAAUUACUGGGCGUAAAGGGUGCGCAGGCGGUUUUGUAAGUCAGAUGUGAAAUCCCCGGGCUUAACCUGGGAACU